GCAAAGCACUCCUACGGGAGGCAGCAGUGGGGAAUAUUGCACAAUGGGCGCAAGCCUGAUGCAGCCAUGCCGCGUGUAUGAAGAAGGCCUUCGGGUUGUAAAGUACUUUCAGCAGUGAGGAAGGUGGGUAUGUUAAUAGCAUACUCAUUUGACGUUAGCUGCAGAAGAAGCACCGGCUAACUCCGUGCCAGCAGCCGCGGUAAUACGGAGGGUGCGAGCGUUAAUCGGAAUUACUGGGCGUAAAGCGCAUGCAGGUGGUUUGUUAAGUCAGAUGUGAAAGCCCGGGGCUCAACCUCGGAAUUGCAUUUGAAACUGGCAAACUAGAGUACUGUAGAGGGGGUAGAAUUUCAGGUGUAGCGGUGAAAUGCGUAGAGAUCUGAAGGAAUACCGGUGGCGAAGGCGGCCCCCUGGACAGAUACUGACACUCAGAUGCGAAAGCGUGGGGAGCAAACAGGAUUAGAUACCCUGGUAG
rnacentral:rRNA from 1 species